rnacentral:misc_RNA from 1 species
ACGUAGUUAGGGCCUCUGGCCCGAACCUCCAACCCUUUGUAUCAAAACCUCGUUGCCUCGGGGAGGCCCUGCCUCACGGCAUGGCCUCCCCGAUGGACCACUAAACUCUGCAUCUGUAUGACGUCUGAGUAAAGAUUUUAAAUUAAAUCA